GGUUGUGCUUAGCAGUGGUUCAGCUCGAGACCUGCACUGUCUGCAUCCCCGGGGCCUUUCAUCUCUUCUGUUUCCAUUUGUCACAACUUCCCAGAAAGUGGGCUGUGGCAGAAUGCAUCUCGCCUGACUCCAGCCAGCUGCAGGUGUCUGGAAGAGGGUUGAAGAUGGUCAGAUGCUAAGGGCAGAGCCCCUCUUCUUCUCUCCAACCCCAAGCCCCAAGUGCCAGGGUAAGAAAGCUGAGAUUCAGAAGGAUUCUGCACAAGAGAGCCAAUUUUUGGAUGCUGCCACGCAGAGAGAGACAACAGCCAGCCAGUCUUGAAGAGCAGCAGCCAACCAACAGAGAGACGGCCACUUCCCCAUGGCCUCCCGGUCCCUGUCCACAGCCCCGCCGCAGAUGGGAGCAGGGGGGUAGUGGCAGAGGACAGACCGCCUUCUGCCACCCUCCACUCAGGCCACCAGGGCCAUGGCCACGUCUAGCUUCCCUGGGAGUGGAGGCCGAGAGCUUUGAAGGAGAGCUUGACCUGGACAUUUUUAAGUACCAGCCUGUGUAAUCCUCACAGCAGCUGCGAGAAUAAGAGCUGCACCUGCCAGAGGCCACCCGGUUAGAAAGAGGUGGUGCUGGGAUCUGCAUCCACUGGCCAUCUCUGGAGACCACCAUGAGCCAGGGCCCCUGGUGACGGCCCAGGGAAGGGGCAGGUGCGGCGCCGUGGAAGGUCGGAGGAGGGCAGAGGCAAAGAAGGCCAUGGAAACGACCGAACGUUAACCCACUGAAGACCCGCCACCCCAUUAACUGGCUAGAAUGGAGGUGUUCCUGCGGCUCCACUGAACAGAAACAGAUCCUGAGAUCCUGAGACCUUAAGUAAAUACUACGGUAGGUGGUAUACCAUCUGCAGUUUGCUGAACCCGCGGAUGUGGAACCGCGGACGUGGAAGAAUCGCAUACACAGAGGGCCGACACUAAGUUAUAUGUGUAUUUUUGACUGCUCGGAGGGUCGACGCCCCUAACCUCCAUGUUGUUCAAGGGUCAAGUGUACUGCUUUCAUGUUUUAUAUAUUGAGUUUAUUCAUCUGACAAAUGAGGGAGCUAAGUUUAGAGAGUAAUUUGCACAAAGCACAGGGCUCAGCUACUAGAGAAAGCAACACCCUGCCACUGCCAGGCCAGUGCCCUACCGAUCCUCCUGGCCACCCUGGGGUAUUCCCCUCCUCCCCGAUUUACAACCGGGCAGACAGAGGUCCUGAGAGGACUCGGGGCAGCUGGACUGAGAACCAGCCCCUGAGCAUGUGUUCUUACCACCUCCAGCCUCAGCAGAGGUAGCUUCUGGUGAAAGGUGUGGAUAGGUUUUAUCAGUGUACUUGGUAGCCAGGGCUGUCCUGAGAGAGGUGACAGUAUCUGUGCAGGGAAACGUGAGCACUUAGGUGACUCAGAAAGCACCAUGGGUGCUUGGUCUCAUGGCCACAGGUGGGCCCCCCGUCAGGGACCCUGUGACCCAAUCAUAGGCCACAGUGGGUGGAAAACUGAAUCUUCCCCCAGCCCCACCAGACUGUAAACCAGAGUAAGGGGUGCCAUGAACACCUGCGGGAAAGAGGGGUGCACCUGUCGAUUUAUCUGGGGACGAGAGCCGGCUUGGCUGGACAGCAACCUGAGGACCACCGCCACAAUGACAAGAGGCAGUGUGGUCUACACUGCAGAACUCAAAGGAGCCAACCACGGACCAGGUGUAAGAAAAUGCAGCUGAAAGCACACAUUCAGGAUCCCACCUUCUGUGGCCCCUGGGAGAGGGUGCCACUAGAGGGAUGUGAAAGAGAUGCCUUGUUUCUCUUGCCAACUUUCUUUUGGGAUGUGUCCCGUAAAGCACUGCCUGUCAUACUUUGCUAACGAAAGAUAAUGGACAUCCAGACCUCAAUUAUCCAAAAGUGGAUUAUCCAUUUGGGGGAUUAGCUAAGCAAAAUUAAAACCGCAGACCAGGCUGAGUUCUCCCACCCUGUCCUCCAUUGAUUAUCUCUCAAGGAAUGAAAGCAAACUUUAGCCUGAGCAAACAUAAUUAGGAAUGUAAAUCUGCUGCUGGGAAAACAAAACAAAACACAAACGCAACAAAAACUAUCACCGUGUUACAAAGCCAAGCUGAAAUGGUGGUUGGCUUCUCUGUGCCAGGAUUGACCCUUUGUGGCUGGAGUACCCAAGGCUUUCUGGAGGAACUGUGAAAGUGCCCAAGUCCGAGUCUAGGCCUGCCAGAAGUUCAGACAACACCGAACAUAAAAGGCCUGGUCACUUAACCCAGGAGAGAAAGGAGAGAAAGGCUGAGGAGAGAGAUGGAUCUCAAAGAACGGGGUGCCCGGAACCUCCAUGCUGGGGCCACUCAAGAAAAAAACACUUCCUGUCCUGGAGGCAGGGAGAAGGCAGAGGGACCCUGAUGGGAUCAGCACCCCAAUCGAUCGCCGGUGGCGCUGGGAAUGGCCGCCUCGCCCCCAGCCCUGCGCACAGGCAGCCUGCUAUUGCUGGAAGCACACCUGCCAGGUCCUGGCCCAGCCCCCAGAGAGGUUCAUCACCACUCAACACUGAGCCCCAGCCAGGCUCCCUUCCCUCCCUGCCAGUUUCUCCCUGUCCCAGACUUAUGAAUGCUUUUCUUCCCAAGGGUUGAACAGCUCAGGAAUGGGGCCUCAAUGGUACCACGGGCACCGGUGCACACCUCCUCUUGGUGGCCUUUGAGCCUGGCAGCCUUAGGGGGUAUCUUAAGUAGUCUUUUCCAUAGCCUUGGAAAAGUCUGAGGGCAAUGCAUGUGGGCUCAGCACCAUGGGCCUUGCUGGCCCCCUUCUUCUCAAGGGUGUCAGCUCCCUUAUUCGCACUUCAGUUCCUAAUGAGUUAUCCCUCCAGCCCAAACCGCCCCAACCAGCCCCCGAGAAAUGGGGCCACUGGGAGCAAUGGGAGAGGUCUGAGCUGUUCUAGCCUCUCGGCUUCAGGCUGAACUCCAUCUGGGGUCAAUGUCCCAGUCCACAGCACUAACAGAUCGAGCAGCAUUGGGGCAUCUGGGCCAUUUAAGGACACUCAGGCCAAACCCCAAGGAGACUUGCGUGUCACUGCCAAGCCUGAGCCCCCAUGCCCCCACGUUCGGAGGGCCUUUCCCCUCAAGCUGUGGCACCCGUCUCUAUAACUGGCCCCUACUGUCUCCUCUGUGGCAUCAGGAGGGACCGAGAGGUAUGGCCCAUGCCCAACUCUGCCAGGGGCUAAAGGAACCAACUCCCAGAGAGCUGUCUCUUCACCUCUGAUACUUUCAGCAGACACACCAUGCAAAACAGAUGCCCCUGCUGUUACAAAGCCCAGGCACACCUGGCCAGCCAGCUCAGAGCCUGAGAGGCAGCACGUCUUCACCUGCACCUGCCAGGUCACUGUUAGGGGAGUUCUGGCUGUGGGGCUGGAGGCAGGGCCAGCAGGCUUGUGAGAGUGUGUGUGUCGGAG